CGAGUCGGCCGGGCGGCCGCGGCGCGUGGGACGGCCAGUCACUGGAAACGCCACGCGCCGAGGAAAGUCCGGACUCCACAGAGCAGGGUGGUUGUCAACGGCAACCCGGGGCGACCCGCGGGACAGUGCCACAGAGAACAGACCGCCGGCCGCACGGCCGGUAAGGGUGAAACGGUGCGGUAAGAGCGCACCAGCGAUGCGGGUGACCGCGUCGGCUCGGUAAACCCCACCCGGAGCAAGGCCGAAGCACGGACCGCUUGCGGUGCGUGUGCGCGGACGUGAUGAGGGCUGCUCGCCCCAGUCCGCGGGUGGGCCGCUCGAGGUACCCGGCGACGGUGUGCCCAGAUGGAUGGUCGCCACCGACCUCACGGUCGGGACAGGAUCCGGCUUACACGCCGACUCGUUCG
rfam:Gordonia polyisoprenivorans VH2, complete genome.